GAUGAACGCUGGCGGCGUGCCUAAUACAUGCAAGUCGAGCGAACAGACGAGGAGCUUGCUCCUCUGACGUUAGCGGCGGACGGGUGAGUAACACGUGGAUAACCUACCUAUAAGACUGGGAUAACUUCGGGAAACCGGAGCUACUACCGGCUAAUAUAUUGAACCGCAUGGUUCAAUAGUGAAAGACGGUUUUGCUGUCACUUAUAGAUGGAUCCGCGCCGCAUUAGCUAGUUGGUAAGGUAACGGCUUACCAAGGCGACGAUGCGUAGCCGACCUGAGAGGGUGAUCGGCCACACUGGAACUGAGACACGGUCCAGACUCCUACGGGAGGCAGCAGUAGGGAAUCUUCCGCAAAGGGCGAAAGCCUGACGGAGCAACGCCGCGUGAGUGAUGAAGGUCUUCGGAUCGUAAAACUCUGUUAUUAGGGAAGAACAAAUGUGUAAGUAACUAUGCACGUCUUGACGGUACCUAAUCAGAAAGCCACGGCUAACUACGUG
rnacentral:rRNA from 1 species